UGGAAGGAAAAUAUUGUUUCA
rnacentral:piRNA from 1 species